rnacentral:rRNA from 1 species
UGGGGAAUUUUGGACAAUGGGCGCAAGCCUGAUCCAGCCAUGCCGCGUGCGGGAAGAAGGCCUUCGGGUUGUAAACCGCUUUUGUCAGGGAAGAAACGGCUCUUGCUAAUAUCGAGAGCUAAUGACGGUACCUGAAGAAUAAGCACCGGCUAACUACGUGCCAGCAGCCGCGGUAAUACGUAGGGUGCAAGCGUUAAUCGGAAUUACUGGGCGUAAAGCGUGCGCAGGCGGCUAUGCAAGACAGAUGUGAAAUCCCCGGGCUCAACCUGGGAACUGCAUUUGUGACUGCAUGGCUAGAGUACGGUAGAGGGGGAUGGAAUUCCGCGUGUAGCAGUGAAAUGCGUAGAUAUGCGGAGGAACACCGAUGGCGAAGGCAAUCCCCUGGACCUGUACUGACGCU